rnacentral:rRNA from 1 species
UACGUAGGGAGCAAGCGUUGUUCGGAAUUAUUGGGCGUAAAGAGCGCGUAGGCGGUUCGGUAAGUCUGAUGUGAAAUCCCAGAGCUCAACUCUGGAACUGCAUUGGAUACUGCCGGGCUUGAGUGUGGGAGAGGAGAGUGGAAUUCCCAGUGUAGAGGUGAAAUUCGUAGAUAUUGGGAGGAACACCCGUGGCGAAGGCGGCUCUCUGGACCACAACUGACGCUGAGGCGCGAAAGCUAGGGUAGCAAACGGGAUUAGAUACCCCGGUAGUCCUAGCCGUAAACGAUGGGCACUAGGUGUUGGAGGUAUCGACCCCUCCAGUGCCGCAGCUAACGCAUUAAGUGCCCCGCCUGGGGAGUACGGUCGCAAGACUAAAACUCAAAGGAAUUGACGGGGGCCCGCACAAGCGGUGGAGCAUGUGGUUUAAUUCGACGCAACGCGAAGAACCUUACCUGGGCUUGACAUCCCGCGAAGGUGCUGGAAACAGUACCGUCCUUUCGGGGACGCGGUGACAGGUGCUGCAUGGCUGUCGUCAGCUCGUGUCGUGAGAUGUUGGGUUAAGUCCCGCAACGAGCGCAACCCUUACCCUUAGUUGCCAGCGAGUAAUGUCGGGAACUCUAAGGGAACUGCCGGUGAUAAACCGGAGGAAGGUGAGGAUGACGUCAAGUCCUCAUGGCCUUUAUGCCCAGGGCUACACACGUGCUACAAUGGCCGGUACAAAGAGUCGCAAGCCCGCGAGGGGGAGCCAAUCUCAAAAAGCCGGUCUCAGUUCAGAUUGUAGGCUGCAACUCGCCUACAUGAAGGCGGAAUCGCUAGUAAUCCCGGAUCAGCAUGCCGGGGUGAAUACGUUCCCGGGCCU